UACGAAGGGGGCUAGCGUUGUUCGGAAUUACUGGGCGUAAAGCGCACGUAGGCGGAUAUUUAAGUCGGGGGUGAAAUCCCGGGGCUCAACCCCGGAACUGCCUUCGAUACUGGGUAUCUUGAGUUCGGAAGAGGUGAGUGGAAUUCCCAGUGUAGCGGUGAAAUGCGUAGAUAUUGGGAGGAACACCAGCGGCGAAGGCGGCUUUCUGGUCCGAUACUGACGCUGAGGUGCGAAAGCGUGGGGAGCGAUCCGG
rnacentral:rRNA from 1 species